UGUACGCCUACACAUCUGUCGGUAAAGGGACGGAAUCAUCUAAUAGCACCAACACCAGUCAAGACAUACCACACAAGAUUACAGAUUUAAAAACUUACAAUACAACAUCAUCUACAAUAACAAUUUCGUUUAACGAACCACAACCAAGCACUGGUCCAAUAACGCAAUACGAUAUACAGUACGUGUACCAGGAACGAGUCUGUAACAAUGGUUUGAGGUCAGGUCAGAAUACCAUAACAAACCAUACCAAGUGUACGCCCUCUAGUGAUCGUCCGACUGUCUGCUCUCUAGACAAUCUCUAUCCCUACUGGAACUAUAAUAUAAGUGUGAGGGCAUACACCAUAAAAGGACCCGGUGACUUGAGCGACCCUAUAGUAAGCCAGACAGCCGAGGACAAGCCGAGUCCUAUAAAUAACCUCCAUCACACCAAGGUCACAGCUUACAGUGUAACUCUGGAGUGGUCCGCGCCUUGUCCCCCUAAUGGCAUUAUCCAGGAAUACGUCAUACGCUGGAACAACAUGGAUAUC